UGACGGUACCUUAAAAAGAAGCACCGGCUAACUACGUGCCAGCAGCCGCGGUAAUACGUAGGGUGCAAGCGUUAAUCGGAAUUACUGGGCGUAAAGCGUGCGUAGGCUGUUAUGUAAGUCAGGGGUGAAAUCCCCGGGCUCAACCUGGGAACUGCCUUUGAGACUGCAUGGCUUGAAUCCGGGAGAGGGGGAUGGAAUUCCAGGUGUAGGAGUGAAAUCCGUAGAUAUGCGGAGGAACACCAAUGGCGAAGGCGGUCACCUGGACCGGUAUUGACGCUCAGGUGCGAAAGCGUGGGGAGCAAACAGGAUUAGAUACCCUGGUAGUCCACGCCGUAA
rnacentral:rRNA from 1 species